GAUGAACGCUAGCUACAGGCUUAACACAUGCAAGUCGAGGGGUAACGAGAGGAAAGCUUGCUUUCCUUGUCGACGACCGGCGCACGGGUGAGUAACGCGUAUCCAACCUGCCCCCAACUAGGGAAUAACCUUGCGAAAGUAAGACUAAUACCCUAUAAUUUCCUCAGAUGUCAUCUGACGAGGAAUAAAGAUUUAUCGGUUGUGGAUGGGGAUGCGUCUGAUUAGCUCGUUGGCGGGGUAACGGCCCACCAAGGCAACGAUCAGUAGGGGUUCCGGGAGGAAGGGCCCCCACCAUGGAACCGAGACACGGUUCAAACCCCUACGGGAAGGAGGAGGUAGGGAUAUUGGUCAAUGGGGCGAAGCCUUAAACCGGCAAGGAGCGUUCAGGAUGAACGCCCUAUGGGUUUUUAACUUCUUUUAUAAUAGAAUAAAGUGGUUCAAGUGUGGAUUUUUGUAUGUAUACUAUGAAUAAGGAUCGGCUAAUUCCGUGCCAGCAGCCGCGGUAA
rnacentral:rRNA from 1 species